rnacentral:rRNA from 1 species
CCUACGGGUGGCAGCAGUCGAGAGUCAUUCACAAUGGGGGAAACCCUGAUGGUGCGACGCCGCGUGGGGGAAUGAAGGUCUUCGGAUUGUAAACUCCUGUCAUGUGGGAGCAAAUUAAAAAGAUAGUACCACAAGAGGAAGAGACGGCUAACUCUGUGCCAGCAGCCGCGGUAAUACAGAGGUCUCAAGCGUUGUUCGGAAUCACUGGGCGUAAGGCGUGCGUAGGCUGUUUCGUAAGUCGUGUGUGAAAGGCGCGGGCUCAACCCGCGGACGGCACAUGAUACUGCGAGACUAGAGUAAUGGAGGGGGAACCGGAAUUCUCGGUGUAGCAGUGAAAUGCGUAGAUAUCGAGAGGAACACUCGUGGCGAAGGCGGGUUCCUGGACAUUAACUGACGCUGAGGCACGAAGGCCAGGGGAGCGAAAGGGAUUAGAUACCCUGGUAGUC